GACGAACGCUGGCGGUGCGCCUUAUGCAUGCAAGUCGAGCGAAGCUUUUCAGUAGUUUACUACAGAAAAUGACUGAGCGGCGAACGGGUGAGUAACGCGUGAGCAAUCUACCUUAGUUACAGGGAUAGCCCGAGGAAACUCGGAUUAAUACCUGAUAUUCUUUAUUUCUCGCAUGAGAAUAAAAGGAAAGGUCAGCCGAACUAAGAUGAGCUCGCGUUCUAUCAGCUAGUUGGUGAGGUAAAAGCUUACCAAGGCUACGACGGAUAGCUGGUCUGAGAGGACGAUCAGCCACACUGGGACUGAGACACGGCCCAGACUCCUACGGGAGGCUGCAGCAGGGAAUAUUGUGCAAUGAACGAAAGUUUGACACAGCGACACCGCGUGUGGGAUGACGGAUCUAGGUUUGUAAACCACUUUCAGGAGGGAAGAAAAUGACGGUACCUCCACAAGAAGCCCCGGCCAACUACGUG
rnacentral:rRNA from 1 species